rnacentral:lncRNA from 1 species
AUUUGAAUUCGAUCCGAAUCAAAGAUAAGGAGAUAAGAAGGAAAGAGAUCCGUUUUGUUUGGAAAGUAAGAUGGUGCCAAAAUUAAUUUUUCUAUGUGCAUUGAAAUUUUUGGUAGGUGUGAGAAAGAUCUAAUUUCUUUCUCAUGCUAUCACAAAAAUUGACAAAAAUUGGGGCAUCCCAUAUGGAUGUGGCGUGGAGAUGUUUGGCGCCUCCUUCGAACCCUAAACCCUAAUGCCUUGUUAUAAAUAGGGGGUCCAAUAGUUGGACGCCCUAUAUGAGAUCCAGUUGAAAGUUAUUUCUUCUACAUUGUUCUCUCCUCUCUUCUCUUUCUCCAUUAAUUUUUCUCCCUCUUUAGAGUGUCUAAGAGAUGAAAAUAAGAAGAAGAAGAUCAGCCUUCAAAGAUCCUUGUGAGGUAGCACUCCCGAGGAGCCUGAUCAGCAUCCGUUCUUUGUGUGGAUGAUCUGUAGCGAUCGGACAUCUUUGUGUGACUGUGAGCAAUCUGAAGGAACUCCUAUCCACGUGAUCUAUUUGUAGAGAUCAGCAACCCAUACUUUGGUAAUGAGUUCUGAACUCGUUAGAUCAGAUUUGAUUAGAUCUAAGGGUUAGAUCUAGUCUAUAGCAUCGAUAUGAUCGAUGUCGAUUUUUAUUUUUAAAUCUUAAACUCAUAUUUAAUCAUAUCAUAGGUCUUGGCAUGAUACUUUAGAUUAGAUCUUGUGCAUAUAAUAUAGGUUAAAUCAUUUAAUAUAACAAGAAUUGCUGCAAAAUUUUAAAAUUGCAUGCAUAAAAUUGCCAAUGUUUCCUUCAACCACUACUCGAGUUUGAGAUGGAAACUCCACCACAGACAAUGGCCGAAGUCAGUACCUCAGGUUGGAAGGAAUCAGACUCUCCGAUAAGGAGAUUUUUGGAUUACUUCAGUCCUGGUACUUAACAGUCUAUCCUGACCGAUCUCGAUCUUCAAAAACUUAAGAAAAAAUACUCGAUUCUUAAAGAAUUCCAGCUUGUAGUUCUAGGUCGGAUGAUUCGGGUUAUUGAGCCUUCAGAAGGUUGUGUCAUAUUUUAUGAUGAGGCACUUCGAUCUAAACUUCGGUCUCCCUUACAUCUAUUCUUUAGUAAUGUUUUGGACUUUUACAGACUUCAUCCAACUCAAAUCACUCCCAAUGCCAUUAGGAUAAUCAUAAUCUUCAUUAUUUGCUAUAAAUUCUCUGCCAUAGAACUUACGAUCUCCCUCUUUAGGAUACUAUUUGUCCUAAAGAAACAUCCUUAUGAAAAAGACUGAUGGUAUUUUUUACCUCGACCCAAAUGCAAAUUUGAUCAUGCUCUUCCAUCUUCAAUACAUAAUUGGAAAAACUAUUUUUUGUUUGUUUCUUCCGAUGUUCCAUGGGAUUUUAGCUAUAAUUAGCAUAAGCCUAAAAUCAAAUGAAAUUCUAAUAAUGAAAUAUUAUAUGGGGAUAAGGAGGCUUUUGCAAAACUAUUGAGUAUGAAGAUAUCCAAGGUGAUUCUACUGAUGUCCAAUCAGUUCUUGUUUGACACCGGCAUCAGUCAAAUCUCUUCUCAGGAUAAGUCUGAUGUCAAUUUUUUUUAUUACUUCAUCAUCAUUUUUUGUCAUUUCAUCAUUUUUAGUUUUUUAACAAUAUUCCUCCUUUUGUGGUAGCAAUAAUGAAGUUCGAUCCAAAGAGGUUGACUGAUGUAAAAAAGAGAAAGUAAGAUCUAACUGAUCAGUCUGCUUCAAAGAAGAGUAAGGAGAUUGCUGUUCCAUCCAAAUCGGCUACCCCCUGAUCAUCACUUAGGGCUAUAAUGAUAGAUGUAGAUGCUGCCCCAAUCUCUAUUGUGCCACCGGUGAUAAAAAUCCUACAUCGACAAUCUACCAAGGUGGUCUGUCCACCACCAAAGGAGGUGUCUGUGCACCCAAGGCAGGCUCCUUCUUCUGCACCUCCUCCAACAUUGACGAAGUCAGUUCGAUUGGCAAAUUAGUAGCCAAGAUCCUAGACUUCCAACGUCAACCUACUAUCUUCUUCAUCGGAGAAGAUUGAUGUAGCCC